GCAAACUUGGUCAUUUAGAGGAAGUAAAAGUCGUAACAAGGUUUCCGUAGGUGAACCUGCGGAAGGAUCAUUACCGACUGUCGGGGCCUUCGGGUUCCCAACUCCAACCCAUUGUUUACUUUAUAUGUUUGCUUCGGUGGGUCGGCGCCCAGGCGUCGCUGGCCUUCGGGCUGGAGGGCGCCCACCGGUAGCGUUUUCAAACUCCGUUUUUGCUUGUGAAGUCUGAGUCGUUUUUAGAAUGAAGCAAAACUUUCAACAACGGAUCUCUUGGUUCUGGCAUCGAUGAAGAACGCAGC
rnacentral:misc_RNA from 1 species